CUCUUCAAUUUCUUCCAAAUUUAAAUACAUAAAUAAAUAAAUAUGAUAAUAAAUAAUCGUCUUUUUCAUUCUCCCGCUCCCCAAACCCUCACUUCCUCGAACCCUCCGUAACUUCCUCUCAAAUCCUCUCCGCAACUUCUUCCAUCUCAGGCAUCAUUCUCGUGGACUGUUGUGGUUCUAUGGGUAAAGGGCGUGUUCGUGGCAUGAAGUUAGGACCGACCUCCACUAUAGUGUUCAAAUCUACACCACGUCAAUUUACUGAGUUUGAGAUUCACGAUGAAGCCAAUUUAGAAGACUACCAAAAUGUAGAUGCUAGACUUUCGAUAUUAGAGUUGAAAAUGGCCAAUAUGAUUUCAAUCUUGGAACAAAAUGGUUUCAUGCAAUCCAAUAAUCCGACUGCUACACAUACAAAUGGUGAUUUGCCAUACUGUAUAUACAAAAAUCCUGGACGUGUUUGUAGCAUGAGAUUACAACCUGCGUCGACUCAAGUGUUCAGAUCUAUCUCACAUCGGAAUAUUCGCAACGAGGCUCGUAUGGAUCAAAAUGUAGAUACUAGACUUUCAAUACUAGAGACUCAAAUGACCAAGGUAGUUUCGAUUUUGCGACGAAACGGUCUCAUGCAAGGCAACAUAUGACCAGGGAUCAACCACAAAAGUUUCAGGACAGGAAUGGGGAUUUAACACACAAAUGAUGCUCACAUGUUCAUGAAGUCAACUCAGCAUCUUUCAUGAUAUUUUAGUCGUUUGUAACAGUGAAAACAAUUUGAUUUCCUAACUUUAGGGUUAAAUAUUGGUAUUUUCUUUAGUUUAUUUUCUUUUUGGGAUGAUAUCAAGUAUGUAUGAGAGUAUUCUUCUAUUUUCAACCAUUUUUUGUGUUGAAAUCAUCUCAUAGUUGGUAGUAUUAGGAGAAGGUUCUUUAGGAAGGACCUUUAAAAUUGGCGACAUGAGUUCAUAUUCGUAUAUUAAAAAAAAAAAAACCUCUUAUUUUAUUGUUUCUUGAAAAUAUGGGGGUCAUAUCCAUCAAAUUUUAACAUUAUUCCCACAAUGUAAUUGACAACAACGGUUGUUACUUAGGAGGCUCUUGGUGGUCUCGAAUAGAAAUGGUUUGUAAUACGAAACUUAUUUUGUUACUACAAUUUUACAUUGAUAAUUUUCCAUCCAA